CGGGCCGGCCCCGCCGCUCCCGCGGAGCAGCCCCGCAGCCCCGGCCCUGGCGAGGACGGGGGCACCGACGAGGACCGGCUGAACCGCAACUCCCUAGCCCGCUCCAUUAAGAAGAUCACGCUGUCCAACCGUUACGGGGAGGCUGGUGCGGGGAACGCGGGGAGACCCGGGGACCCUGCCCGGGUCGGCAGCGAGAGGAACCACAACAACAACAACAGCAGGACAGGGAAAGCUCAGUUCAAGGUCUUUCUCAGGAAGGACGUGGAUGCAGAGGAUGAGCAGCAGGAGCCUGGAAAUCUUCAGACCAGUGUUUUCCGCUCUCCAGUGGACAGAUGUUCUCCCUAUUAUGCGCUGGCAGGAUCCCCUGUGUCAUCACCCCAGAAAGAGAGUCCUAAGGGCAAGGAAUCCACUGCAGCACCAAGAUGCAGUGGACGAAGCACAGUGGGAGCAGCCCUCCUCCUCGACCCAAGUCCUCUGGUAGCCCAGUUCAACCGGGAGAUGCUGCAGGCGGAGGGCUGGGUGCGAGGCAAGUUGCGGGACCUAAAGGACGGCUGCGAUCUCCAGGACUGGGAGGAGGUGGCUCAGACCUUGCAGCGGGACAUGAAGGAUUUUGAGAACACUCUGAUAAAGCUCAACCAGGAGGAGAAGCCAUCUCUGGCAGCCCUUCUACAGGAAAGCCCAGACAAGAUCCAGCUCACCCGCCGCAUCCUUGACUUGAAGCAGGAGGAGCAGCAAUUCCAGAGUCUGCACAAGGAGGUGAACAGCCUGGCCCAGAAGCUGGAGAAGCAAGGCAAAAGUGAGAGCAGGAACAUCUCAGCCCGGCGCAAGCACCUCAACAAAACGUGAGCAGAGGACACAUAGGCUUAGCGGGACCAAGCCAAGCACCAGGAGCUGACAGGCUGGGAAGCAGGAUUUCCCAAACCUGCUGGCCCAGCUCUGCACAGCUCCCCAGAUAGGCACAGACUGCCCUUCACCU
rnacentral:lncRNA from 1 species